rnacentral:rRNA from 1 species
GGCCAUGUUGGUUGCUUGAUCCUCAUCUGCUGGACGUCUGGCGAUCAUCUUUAUCGGUUGUCUGAGUUGCCAGCACGUUUACUUUGAAAAAAUUAGAGUGCUAAAAGCAGGCUCACGCCUAUGAAUAUUGCAUGGAACAAUGAAAUAAUAUCUCGAUUUUAUUUCGUUGGUUUUAGAAAUUGAGAUAAUGAUUAAUAGGAUCAGAGGGGGGCGUACGUACUGUGGUGUGAGAGGUGAAAUUCUUGGAUCGUCACAGGACGAACAGCAGCGAAGGCAUUCGCCAAGAAUGUUUUCAUUAAUCAAGAACGAAAGUUAGAGGUUCGAAGACGAUCAGAUACCGUCCUAGUUCAAACCAUAAACGUUGCCAACUGUCUAUCAGUUGUGGUUAUUUAUAUGACUCAUCCGGCGGAUCUCGAGAAAUCUAAGUUUUUAGGUUCCGGGGGAGGUAUGGUUGCAAAGCUGAAACUUAAAAGAAUUGACGGAAGGACACCCACCAAGUGGAGCGCGUGGCCUAAUUUGACUCAACACGGGAAACCUUUCUCGGCCAGGACACACUUAGGAGGGACAGAUUGAGAGCUCUUUCUGAUUAGGUGGGUGGUGGUGCAUGGUCGUUCGUAGUUCGGGAGAGAUUUGUCUGAUUAAUUUUGAUAUAGAACGAGACUCUGGCUCACUAAAUAGUCUAAAUUGAUCAGGGACUUUUCAAGAGUUGUUUGCAGGAUAAGUGG